UACGUAGGGUGCGAGCGUUGUCCGGAAUUACUGGGCGUAAAGAGCUCGUAGGUGGUUUGUCGCGUUGUUCGUGAAAACUCACAGCUUAACUGUGGGCGUGCGGGCGAUACGGGCAGACUGGAGUACUGCAGGGGAGACUGGAAUUCCUGGUGUAGCGGUGGAAUGUGCAGAUAUCAGGAGGAACACCGGUGGCGAAGGCGGGUCUCUGGGCAGUAACUGACGCUGAGGAGCGAAAGCGUGGGGAGCAAACAGG
rnacentral:rRNA from 1 species